UACGGAGGGUGCAAGCGUUAUCCGGAUUCACUGGGUUUAAAGGGUGCGUAGGUGGGUCUGUAAGUCAGUGGUGAAAUCUCCGUGCUUAACAUGGAAACUGCCAUUGAUACUAUAGGUCUUGAAUUUUCUGGAGGUAAGCGGAAUAUGUCAUGUAGCGGUGAAAUUCUUAGAUAUGACAUAGAACACCAAUUGCGAAGGCAGCUUACUACGGGAACAUUGACACUGAGGCACGAAAGCGUGGGGAUCAAACAGG
rnacentral:rRNA from 1 species